AAAAGUUUUUUUACUUUUUUAUUUUUUGAAAAAAAGACUUCCAUUCAUUGAAUUCUAAAACACAUACUAAACGAAAUAGGCCAUCAUGACUCAAUAACCAAAAAAAAAGCAGCAAGUGUCAAUAGACCCCUCAAAUGUAGCCCAAAGAAAAACAAAAUAGAAACCCGACAAUGCAACCAGAAAGACAGCUUGGGGAAGCCAAGAUUCCCAAUGUCCAAGAGGUGACAACGAUGAGCAGGAUAAUGGAAAAAUCAAGGGUGAAGUAGGACGAAUCAAUAGUAAGGAUCUACUUCGACAAAGCAUACUAGAGAAACCUAAAAAGGAGGGUCGCCCCACCCAGUGUCUGCAGCAACCUCGAGUUCAACUUGGAAAGGGACCUCUUUUACCCAAAACUAAUCUGAUGCCAUCGAAACCCUAAAUAUGUAAGUAGGUGAGCUACAGAAUUUUGCUCCCUAUAAUAGUGUCAGAUUUCAACUGCAGUGAAACUGUUAAGUAGUCUUUGUUGACCCUCCUAGAUAAGAGCCCUAAUCUUCGAUCCGUCCUCACCUGUAUUUCAAAAUUUACGAAUGACAUGCACAAAUCCCCCUCAAAAACAACCCGAGAGAGACCCAGAUCGUGAGCAAAGUCCACGGUUGUGAUAAAAGCCAACGUCUCCAUCGUAAAAGCUGAAGAGACAUGUUGAUAAAGGUGAGUGCAAGCCUCUAGCACUUGGUCAUGGCUAUCACGAACAACCACACAUAAGCAAAAAAAGCUAGUACCCCUUGUACGCAACAUCAAAAUUGGCCUUCACCAGAGGUGCAGCCAAUGGUAGCCAGCGCAUAGUACAUGAGCCCACGGAACUCACAACUGGCAUGCCCAAAGCAGACAAACCACCCAGAUACGAACAAAUGAAAGAGAGCAAUUCCAGAGGUAUUUAGGAGAGGCCUUCGUGGUAUUGACGAUUCCUCUCCAACCAAAAAGCCUAUACCGUUGUAAAUACGAACUCAGUUCCAUCCCCAGAAAAAGCAUUACACAAGAAACCUAGCCAACUCACCUAACUGGAAUCAUUGUUGGAUACUGGCGAGGAAAUGCACAAAUGGUCCCAUACUAAAGCAGCAAAAGGGCAAUCCCAGACAACAUGGGUAGUCGUCUCAGGUACAGUUAGACAUUUAGGACAAAAUUGGGUGUGAGGGAUGUGGCUGUUGUAGAGAUUGUAUAGAGUAGGAGCAUAGUCCUUGAGAAACUUCCAAACUGUAAUGUGAACUUUAGGAGGGGCACAGGCCUUCCACAACCUUUUAAAGAGAUCUUAGGAACUCAUAGGGUAGAUAUGGUUAGAUGGCAAUAGGGAGAAAGGUACAGACAAUCGAAACAUUUUAUACCGGUGCGAACAGCAUAACAACUCGUCAGGUCCCCUUUCCAAACUACCAUGUCAUCACCAGCAAAAGGAGACAGAGGAACACUCAAGAUACAAGCAGCUUCAUCAUCGGAGAACACCUCCAAUAUCAAGUGCCGCCAAGCCAGCUCGAGAAUCAAGGGAUGUCAGAGGUAUUGAUCACACUAUCACCAAAAGUUUUUAGUAUAGUUAGUUUAAAUGUUUUGAGCGUGGCAUGUAUAGGGACUUCGUCUUUUUGUUUAGUGCCAUAUUAGUUUAGCCAUAAGUGUUGGCUCAUAUGGAUGUGAUAUUCAUUUUGUAUAGACUAUUGAUGUUGGCUAAUAUUGAUUAUUAUUAAAUGCAUUUGAUGAAAAUUCUCA